UACGGAGGGUGCAAACGUUGCUCGGAAUUAUUGGGCGUAAAGCGCGCGCAGGCGGUCGAAUAAGUCGAAUGUGAAAGCCCCCGGCUUAACUGGGGAGGGUCAUUCGAUACUGCUCGACUUGAAGGCAGGAGAGGGUAGUGGAAUUCCCGGUGUAGUGGUGAAAUGCGUAGAUAUCGGGAGGAACACCAGUGGCGAAGGCGACUACCUGGCCUGUUCUUGACGCUGAGGCGCGAAAGCUGGGGGAGCAAACGGG
rnacentral:rRNA from 1 species